UUUUCUAAAUAAAUAUCAAAAAGUAGUACAUAAAAAAAGGGAAAUGUUUCUAGAUAUAGGUAAUUGAUGGUUUUCUCAAACCACACACCCUUUUCAAGAUAUUUCUCGUAAAAGCCGACUUCCUCACCGGCAGAUAUGGUCAAUGCUAUAGUACUCCUUGUGCCACAAAGCCCCUGUAUCCCAUUAAACGCAUAAUAUACUAGUUAAAACGGCUACAGUUUUUAUCAGCUUUAACAUUGUUUUUUUCUUUCAAUAAAUUUAGAACGAAAUUUUACCAGUGGCGUGUCCGUUUCAACAAAUAUGGAGCUAAGCUCGAAUUCCCACUCCAGGGCACAAAUGCCAGCUUUUACGUAGCCGCAGAGCCUGCAGAGUGGGAAAGUAUGGAUCAAAUCUCCAGUGUCCAUUUGCAUUUCUGUAUGACUUUAUAGGAAUGUAAUAUGGAAGAGUUGUUUUUAUUGCGUAAAAGAGAUGUACCUUAGGGCAGGGUGAGUCAAGAUUGGCAUUUGAAAGUACAUGAAGACCUGGAGAAACCUGUUGAAUGUUAAUGUCGUCCCCCUUUGGCCUAUUGGAGGCAUAAACCAUUGAUUUUGAAGGAAUAUCAGCCAAUAUGAGGUUAAAUCCUUUGUAUUGAUGAGCAUCUGUGAUCAGUUGUUGGGCAAAUUCCAUGGGGCUCUUUGUGCUCUGUAUCAGCAAUACUUACUGUUAGUUGAGUUUCGCUUGAACCAACAAAGAAAGGCAUAUAGAUUUACCUUCAAGAAAAGUAUAGGGAGAUCCCCGCGGGUCUUGGCUUUGGGAAGGUGAUGAAGCUCCAAAACAUUGGUAAGACAAGCUACUCUGCCUUGUCUUGAGCAUGCCAACCAUGUCCCUCCUGCAACCUCAUCUCUACCUCCCAGUAUUUCACAACCAUCAACAUCCCACCAUGCAACUGGCUUUGUAGGCCUUCAACGCCACCCAUAAAACAAAUCCCAUAGAUUAAUCAUAGAUGCUUCCUUCCUUAAAAGAAAAAUAAUUGAAGCGAAAUGAAACCAUACCUGUUGUGGUAUUCAUCUCUGUUUUGUAAAAGCAGAAGAGGGUAGAGUGGAUGAGCUUGCCAAAUGAAAGCAGCAAUACACAUGGUUAGACAAUUCUCUUCAAUUGUUUGGCUUUGAGUGAAUUGGAUGAACGAGAAAAGAGAACAGAGAAGCAGAUUAGAUAAGAUCAGGGGAAAAAAUCUGCAAUUUCUUUUUGGCUUGCUUUGACCAGCUGGAUUGCAAUGAUUAAUAAGAGUCAUCCAACACUAAAUAAUUGCCUCAAAACCAACAUUUACAGCAAAAGGGGCUAUUCUUGUUUUACAAGAGGGGUUUGAGUGAGGUAGAAACAAAAGGUAAUCUUGACUUUUCAAAACUAAGAAAAAUAUUUUGAAAAAUGUAGCUGACGGCGGGUGCAUCUGUUCAACAACACUGCCCAGUUUGAAUCGUUCUCUAAAACGGAAGAGGAAACAAACAGAUUUGGUACUUGCUGCUCCCCCAUAUACCCCCAAACUGAUAUUGCAAUCACACUGCAUUUGGUCUCAUCUGUAUUUGAAAACAAAUAUCCUCAACACUGUUUAAUCAAUGCAGCUGAUGAAGGAUACCGCUCCCAGAUUGAAGAAACAGUGCGGUAGUCCCUGAAUGAAUGCAUAAAAUCUUCCACAUUCUCUCCACAAUUAAGAUGUCAUUCACCUAAUGUUUUCAUUGAAGGCACAAAAUUGUAGUAAGUUGAUUCAUCAUCAGAGAGUGUCGGGAGCACAUGCUCUGACUGUUUCGUAAGUACUUGUUCAUAUUCAGCCCAUCAUCCUCCCCAAGUGAUUGAAACUAAUCUGUAAAAACUCGAGUUUAGAAAAACUCUUAAAUUGACAUAUAUAACAUUUUUUUUA